CAGCAGCCGCGGUAAUACGUAGGUGGCAAGCGUUGUCCGGAAUUAUUGGGCGUAAAGGGCUCGCAGGCGGUUUCUUAAGUCUGAUGUGAAAGCCCCCGGCUCAACCGGGGAGGGUCAUUGGAAACUGGGAAACUUGAGUGCAGAAGAGGAGAGUGGAAUUCCACGUGUAGCGGUGAAAUGCGUAGAGAUGUGGAGGAACACCAGUGGCGAAGGCGACUCUCUGGUCUGUAACUGACGCUGAGGAGCGAAAGCGUGGGGAGCGAACAGGAUUAGAUACCCCCGUAGUCCCUGUCUCUUAUAC
rnacentral:rRNA from 1 species